UGGAUCCAGACUUUGAUCCUGGCUCAGGAUGAACGCUAGCUACAGGCUUAACACAUGCAAGUCGAGGGGAAACGACAUCGAAAGCUUGCUUUUGAUGGGCGUCGACCGGCGCACGGGUGAGUAACGCGUAUCCAACCUGCCCAUCACUUGGGGAUAACCUUGCGAAAGUAAGACUAAUACCCAAUGAUAUCUCUAGAAGACAUCUGAAAGAGAUUAAAGAUUUAUCGGUGAUGGAUGGGGAUGCGUCUGAUUAGCUUGAUGGCGGGGUAACGGCCCGCCAAGGCUACGAUCAGUAGGGGUUCUGAGAGGAAGGUCCCCCACAUUGGAACUGAGACACGGUCCAAACUCCUACGGGAGGCAGCAGUGAGGAAUAUUGGUCAAUGGACGAGAGUCUGAACCAGCCAAGUAGCGUGCAGGAUGACGGCCCUAUGGGUUGUAAACUGCUUUUAUAAGGGAAUAAAGUGAGUCUCGUGAGACUUUUUGCAUGUACCUUAUGAAUAAGGACCGGCUAAUUCCGUGCCAGCAGCCGCGGUAAUACGGAAGGUCCGGGCGUUAUCCGGAUUUAUUGGGUUUAAAGGGAGCGUAGGCCGGAGAUUAAGCGUGUUGUGAAGUGUAGACGCUCAACGUCUGCACUGCAGCGCGAACUGGUUUCCUAGAGUACGCACAAAGUGGGCGGAAUUCGUGGUGUAGCGGUGGAAUGCUUAGAUAUCACGAAGAACUCCGAUUGCGAAGGCAGCUCACUGGAGCGCAACUGACGCUGAAGCUCGAAAGUGCGGGUAUCGAACAGGAUUAGAUACCCUGGUAGUCCGCACGGUAAACGAUGGAUGCCCGCUGUUGGUCUGAAUAGGUCAGCGGCCAAGCGAAAGCAUUAAGCAUCCCACCUGGGGAGUACGCCGGCAACGGUGCAACUCAAAUGAAUUGACGGA
rnacentral:rRNA from 1 species